rnacentral:rRNA from 1 species
UGGGGAAUAUUGCACAAUGGGGGAAACCCUGAUGCAGCGACGCCGCGUGCGGGAUGAAGGCCUUCGGGUUGUAAACCGCUUUCAGCAGGGACGAAAUUGACGGUACCUGCAGAAGAAGCACCGGCUAACUACGUGCCAGCAGCCGCGGUAAUACGUAGGGUGCAAGCGUUGUCCGGAAUUAUUGGGCGUAAAGAGUUCGUAGGCGGUUUGUCGCGUCCGUUGUGAAAGCUUGGGGCUCAACCCCAAGUCUGCAGUGGAUACGGGCAGACUAGAGUCAGGUAGGGGAGAACGGAAUUCCUGGUGUAGCGGUGAAAUGCGCAGAUAUCAGGAGGAACACCGGUGGCGAAGGCGGUUCUCUGGGCCUGUACUGACGCUGAGGAACGAAAGCGUGGGGAGCGAACA